UUAACUCAAGGGGAACAGAAUUUAAUUGCCUCUUGUCACAAGACACAUUUUGAUUCUUUUAAAGCCACUUCCUUCCUCCUUGUGAGUGAAUCACAGUUAUUUCAAAGAGAUUUUGGCAACUGGCAAAUUCUGGAUUGGCUCCCUUUAAUUGGUUGCUUUCGUUUUCUGCCUACCCCACCUUUCCAUGGCAGCCAUAUCCUUCAAAGCUGUGUGGUUUCUAGAAAGAGCAGAGACUUUAUCGGCAAAACAACAAAUUCCCCUCCUUCCAUUUGCCAGUUAUGUGCCUUUGGGGCUCCUGAGCAUGGGAAAGAAGAGAGCUGAGUGAAUGUCUUGGCUGGAGCAGGGCAGCAGUCAUCCAACCACACCUGGACUGGCAGUACCAAAGAGCACUUGGCAGGAGAAGAAACACAGCAAGACACAGAGGGAAGAUGGCCACAAGAAGAUGGAGGCAGAAAUUGGAAUUAUGCUGCCACAGCCAAGGAAUAUCUGGAGCUACCAGAAGCUGGAAGACGCAAGGAGAGAUCUGCCUCUAGAGCCUCCAGAGGGAGCACAGCCCUGCUAACAUCUUGAUUUCAGAUUCCUGGCCUCCGGAACUGUAAGAGAAUAAAUUUACAUUGUUUUAAGCCACCUAGUUUGUGGUACUUUGUUAUGGAAGCCAUAGCAAAUUAAUGUAGUCCCUAUUCAGCCUUCAGUGUAGGGGAAAAGAAGUAGAUGUUUAGUUUGCCAGGUGGCGUAAAUAUUGCAGGACUAUGUCUCUAUGGAGAUCCACUAUUGUAUAAAGUUACCCAUUAAACAGAUGGAGAGAUUAGGAGUGUGUUAGUUCACAUAAUAACUCUGUGUACUUUUUCCUCGGUAAGUACACAAAAUAACUCUGUGUACUUUUUCCUCCAUAAGGGUGGCCACUGCUGUUAUCUGAUCACUGUGUGACAGAAGGCUGAAGCCUUAUAACCAGAAAUAAAGAGGUCCGUCCAGCUUUCUUUCCUGGCACAAACCAUCCCUGCUAGAAAUGAAGCAUCCUUAGUACCUCAUUGCCCUUGUCUUGUGAAGGCUGCUGGUUUUUAGGAAACUGACAAGCUCACAAAGUGUUUAUUUCAAUACAAAAUGGGAAGACAAAGGGCAGAAAGCUUGGAUUUAAAUAAAAAAUGAGUCAGUUGAGGGAGUAUGAAAGUAUGGAAAUGAAUCAACCUACAAUGAAUGUGAGAUGACCGCAACAAGCAUGGUACACCGUGUCGACUAUUGUUUUCCCAACUCAAAAAAUUAGUAAGGCAUUUGGCAUUAUUUUUAAAACACUCUCAUCUUUCUAGUUUGAUAAGAGAAGCACUAAAGAGCACUUUAGUGUUUACUUAGGAAAAUUAAAACAUUGAGUUACUAAAGUUCCUAAGGAAGCUUAUUUAACUUGCUAUUUUUUUCUAAUUAAUACUUCAUGUGACAUAUAUGUAUUGAACACUUCUUGUGAGCCAGGCAUUGUGCUAUAUGCUGAAGAUACCAAGAAUGGUAAUAAAAUAAGUCCCUCCAAUCAAGCAGUUUGCACACCAUUAGGGGAAAUAGACAAACAGUGCAAGGGUACUGAGAUUUUUAAAAAUUGCAACAUAAUACUGGUUAGAGUUCAAAGACUUAAUAAUGAUGAUGAUACUAGUAAUGUCAAUACUAUAUGUUUUACAUGUGUGAAUUAGGGGAAAGAGAGAAAAGUAUGCCUAAUUACCUCUGGAAAAAUAAGGUUGCCUACCUACCCUCUUGGCACAUUCCUGUUUCUCCGAUGGGAACAAAAGGCCAAUGUAGGGAGAAGGAGCCAGGAAGAGAAAAGUAUACAAGACCUACAGCUUCGAGAAUUCAUAUUGCCUUUGGAGAAAUGCAAACAGUGCAGGGAAGAGGUGUGGGAAAGUGUGAGAGAUGAGGUAGGGGCCAGAUCCUGAAAAAUCUUUUGUGGGUAUCAUUCUCUGAGCCAGUUUUCUUCGGACUGGUGUUUAUAAAUAGAUAAGGCAGGGAGGGGCAUUUUGAAUUCCUCUACAAGAAUGUAUGAAGGCAAGUGCAUUUGAUUCAUUUCAAAUAUAAUCUUUAAAAAAAUAACAUUGGCAUAUUCUGACUAUUUGUAUAAUCAUCUUUUAAGGUAGUGCUGCCACAUGAUUUUAAACUUUGCAUUUUCACUUAUAUUUAUAAUAAUUAAUUUUUAUUUAAUUGUAGCCUAUUGCAUAUUAAGGGUGCUGAGCAUCAAAUUAAUCUUAGCUCUCUAUCUUUGUAGUAGUAUCUGUGCCAGAGAGUCCUGGUUGACUCCUAAUAUAAAUUUCUCCUUCUUUCAAAGUAGUGGAACCCCAAAUAUUUAGAUGGGUACAUGGCUGCCCAGGAAGAAACAAACAAACAAACAAACAAAAACAUUGCCCAGACUCCUUUGCAGCUAGAUGUGGCCAUGUGAAUAAGUUCAAGUCAAUAAAUUUUAAACAAGUUUCUUGUAACAGCUUCUGGAAUCUUCCUUAAAUACAUGGUGAUUUUUUUAUAUACACAGGUGAUUUUAAAC
rnacentral:lncRNA from 10 species